UACAGAGGUGGCAAGCGUUGUUCGGAAUUACUGGGCGUAAAGCGUGCGCAGGCGGUUUUGUAAGUUCUGUCGUGAAAUCCCCCGGGCUCAACCUGGGGAAUUCGCGAUGGAGACUGCAAGGCUAGAAUCUGGCAGGAGGGGGGUAGAAUUCCACGUGUGAGCAGUGAAAUGCGUAGAGAUGUGGAGGACACCGAUGGCGAAGGCAGCCCCCAUGGGU
rnacentral:rRNA from 1 species